rnacentral:rRNA from 1 species
CUCUAAGCUUCAGUCAUACGAGACCGUACCGCAAACCGACACAGGUGGGCGAGAUGAGUAUUCUAAGGCGCUUGAGAGAACUCGGGAGAAGGAACUCGGCAAAUUGGUACCGUAACUUCGGGAAAAGGUACGCCCCGGUAGCUUGACCACUUUACUGUGGAAGGGCGAAAGGGUUGCAAUAAACUGGUGGCUGCGACUGUUUAAUAAAAACACAGCACUCUGCAAACACGAAAGUGGACGUAUAGGGUGUGACGCCUGCCCGGUGCUGGAAGAUUAAAUGAUGGGGUGCAAGCUCUUGAUUGAAGUCCCAGUAAACGGCGGCCGUAACUAUAACGGUCCUAAGGUAGCGAAAUUCCUUGUCGGGUAAGUUCCGACCUGCACGAAUGGCGUAACGAUGGCCACACUGUCUCCUCCCGAGACUCAGCGAAGUUGAAAUGUUUGUGAUGAUGCAAUCUACCCGCGGCUAGACGGAAAGACCCCAUGAACCUUUACUGUAGCUUUGCAUUGGACUUUGAAUCAAUCUGUGUAGGAUAGGUGGGAGGCUUUGAAGCGGGGACGCCAGUUCUCGUGGAGCCAUCCUUGAAAUACCACCCUGGUUUGUUUGAGGUUCUAACCUUGGUCCGUUAUCCGGAUCGGGGACAGUGCAUGGUAGGCAGUUUGACUGGGGCGGUCUCCUCCUAAAGUGUAACGGAGGAGUUCGAAGGUACGCUAGGUACGGUCGGACAUCGUGCUAAUAGUGCAAUGGCAUAAGCGUGCUUAACUGCGAGACCGACAAGUCGAGCAGGUACGAAAGUAGGACAUAGUGAUCCGGUGGUUCUGUAUGGAAGGGCCAUCGCUCAACGGAUAAAAGGUACUCUGGGGAUAACAGGCUGAUACCGCCCAAGAGUUCAUAUCGACGGCGGUGUUUGGCACCUCGAUGUCGGCUCAUCACAUCCUGGGGCUGAAGUAGGUCCCAAGGGUAUGGCUGUUCGCCAUUUAAAGUGGUACGCGAGCUGGGUUUAGAACGUCGUGAGACAGUUCGGUCCCUAUCUGCCGUGGGCGCUGGAGAAUUGAGGGGGGCUGCUCCUAGUACGAGAGGACCGGAGUGGACGCAUCACUGGUGUUCGGGUUGUCAUGCCAAUGGCACUGCCCGGUAGCUAAAUGCGGAAGAGAUAAGUGCUGAAAGCAUCUAAGCACGAAACUUGCCCCGAGAUGAGUUCUCCCUGAGACUUUAAGUCUCCUGAAGGAACGUUGAAGACGACGACGUUGAUAGGUCGGGUGUGUAAGCGCAGCGAUGCGUUGAGCUAACCGAUACUAAUGAACCGUGAGGCUUAACCUU